AACGCACAUUGCGCCCUUGGGUAUUCCUGGGGGCAUGCCUGUUUGAGAACCUUGACGUACCUCACACCCCACCUUGGUGUUUUAGCUUCUGCGAAAUAAUCCUCAUAGGUGCUGGGAGUGGAUUUGGGCCUAGUCUUCUUCCUUUGCGGAGAAGAGGCCUUAAAUGUAAUGUCGACCGCAUUCUUCACUUUGGCUGGGUUUGCUUGAGGCACAUCAAGACGUGAUUAAUACCUUCAUUGGUUUGUCCUAACGUCGAUAACUGAGCCUCGUGAACUGUCCCAAUUGAUUGUAGCGCAAUCGCUCAUACCACAAUACAUUGCCAGGCAGUGAAGACAGAACCUCUAUUUGGAGAUUUUGAAUUGACUGAAUACCUGAACACCUGGUCUCAAAUCAGACAAGAAUACCCGCUUAACUUAA
rnacentral:misc_RNA from 1 species